AUGUCAAAUCAUCAUGCCCCUUACGUCUAGGGCUACAGGCGUGCUACAAUGGCCGAUACAAAGAGACGCAAUACCGCGAGGUGGAGCAAAUCUACAAAAUCGGUCUCAGUUCGGAUUGGAGUCUGCAACUCGACUCCAUGAAGUUGGAAUCGCUAGUAAUCCUGAAUCAUCAUGUCAGGGUGAAUACGUUCCCGGGUGUU
rnacentral:rRNA from 1 species